GAGCGCCGUAGCAAUACGGAGCGGCAGACGGGAGAGUAACACGUGGGAACGUGCCCUUCAGUUCGGAACAACCCAGGGAAACUUGGGCUAAUACCGGAUACGUCCGUAAGGAGAAAGAUUUAUCGCUGAAGGAUCGGCCCGCGUCUGAUUAGCUAGUUGGUGAGGUAACGGCUCACCAAGGCGACGAUCAGUAGCUGGUCUGAGAGGAUGAUCAGCCUCACUGGGACUGAGACACGGCCCAGACUCCUACGGGAGGCAGCAGUGGGGAAUAUUGGACAAUGGGCGCAAGCCUGAUCCAGCCAUGCCGCGUGGAUGAUGAAGGCCCUAGGGUUGUAAAGUCCUUUCGGCGGGGAAGAUAAUGACGGUACCCGCAGAAUAAGCCCCGGCUAACUUCGUG
rnacentral:rRNA from 1 species